rnacentral:lncRNA from 1 species
UAUAUGUGAGAGAGAGAGAGUGAGAUUAGAGACUGGGGGAGGAUCCGGCCAUCCAAAUCGGUGGGCCAACCUUCAAGUCCGGCACGAAGGCGAUGCAUGUCCGCCCAACCUUCAAAUCGGCGGACGGCGAUGUAAGUAUGGCACGACGGCGAUGCAAGUCCGGCCAAACUUCAAGUCCGGCACGACGGCGACGCACGGCGGACCGUUCAUAACUUGCAAAUCCUUGUUUGGUAACCAUUAAUACUAAACCUAGCCGGAAUCUGGUUGCCGGAGGAUCACACCAUCACGGGACCUUCCUGUGGUUCCGCUGCGUUGCACCACCCGUUCAGAUCCACCACUUACGUCGGAGAUACCACAUUUUUUAUGCUUUUAUGAAAGAUUUUGAAAUGAUUUUUUCUGUUUGUUUAUUUAGUAACUGAUAGGGUUUUUCUUCUAAUCAUUUUUUCUCUAAUCAAAUAAUCAUCAGGUUGCAGUUUUUAGUCUGUUGAAGAAAUUGAUGGGAAAAGCGUCAUCUUUCUUUGUUAAAGGAGUUUUUCAAAUGGGUUUGAUCUGAAACUUCUGGACUUUGAAACCGCAGUUGCGGUUGGAAAAGAAAACAAUAUGAUCUUGAACCGAUUUGAUUAAGUACACGAGUUUUUGUCAGAGAAAAUAAAGAUUUGUGGGUGUGGAGGAUGCGGAUUUGUAGUGUGACGGUAGACGGUUGUUGGCAGUUAUGAUAAAGGAACGCGACCCUGUUGGAUCAGUUCUGUUUAAAUGUAAUGGAAAACAUGAAUAAUACCUGUUACAGCAGACAGGCCAGCAGAGAAUCCAGUCAGAGAUGCAGCCAUUGAGUUCGACAUGAUUGUCAGGAUGAUCUGGUUCCUCCUUAAGGUGUAAGUUAAUGAUGGUGAUGAAACCGAAAUUAGGGAGGUUUCGGUUAUGGGGAGAGAGAGACGAAUUCUUGAUGUUAUGAGGGUUUUUGAUUGUGUAAUGUGUGUAACCCUUUAACUCUCUAAUAAGCCCCUUAUUUAUAC